rnacentral:misc_RNA from 1 species
GAUGAAGAACGUAGUAAAAUGCGAUAAGUAAUGUGAAUUGCAGAAUUCAGUGAAUCAUCGAAUCUUUGAACGCACAUUGCGCCCGCUGGUAUUCCGGCGGGCAUGCCUGUUCGAGCGUCAUUUCAACCCUCAAGCCCCCGGGUUUGGUGUUGGGGAUCGGCUCUGCCCUUCUGGGCGGUGCCGCCCCCGAAAUACAUUGGCGGUCUCGCUGCAGCCUCCAUUGCGUAGUAGCUAACACCUCGCAACUGGAACGCGGCGCGGCCAUGCCGUAAAACCCCAACUUCUGAAUGUUGACCUCGGAUCAGGUAGGAAUACCCGCUGAACUUAAGCAUAUCAAUAAGCGGAAGA